AACGAACGCUGGCGGCAGGCUUAACACAUGCAAGUCGAGCGCCCCGCAAGGGGAGCGGCAGACGGGUGAGUAACGCGUGGGAACGUACCCUUUACUACGGAAUAGCUCCGGGAAACUGGAAUUAAUACCGUAUGUGCCCUUCGGGGGAAAGAUUUAUCGGCAAAGGAUCGGCCCGCGUUGGAUUAGCUAGUUGGUGGGGUAAAGGCCUACCAAGGCGACGAUCCAUAGUUGGUCUGAGAGGAUGAUCAGCCACAUUGGGACUGAGACACGGCCCAAACUCCUACGGGAGGCAGCAGUGGGGAAUAUUGGACAAUGGGCGCAAGCCUGAUCCAGCCAUGCCGCGUGAGUGAUGAAGGCCUUAGGGUUGUAAAGCUCUUUCACCGGAGAAGAUAAUGACGGUAACCGGAGAAGAAGCCCCGGCUAACUUCGUGCCAGCAGCCGCCGUAAGAC
rnacentral:rRNA from 1 species